GAUGAACGCUAGCUACAGGCUUAACACAUGCAAGUCGAGGGGAAACGAUGAGAGAGCUUGCUCUCUUAGGCGUCGACCGGCGCACGGGUGAGUAACGCGUAUCCAACCUACCCAUUACAGGGGGAUAACCUUGCGAAAGUAAGACUAAUACCCCAUGGCAUUUUAUGGUGGCAUCAUUAUAGGAUUAAAGAUUUAUUGGUAAUGGAUGGGGAUGCGUCUGAUUAGCUUGUUGGCGGGGUAACGGCCCACCAAGGCAACGAUCAGUAGGGGUUCUGAGAGGAAGGUCCCCCACAUUGGAACUGAGACACGGUCCAAAAUCCUACGGGAGGCAGCAGUGAGGAAUAUUGGUCAAUGGGCGAGAGCUUGAACCAGCCAAGUAGCGUGCAGGAUGACGGCCCUAUGGGUUGUAAACUGCUUUUAUAGGGGAAUAAAGUGAGCUACGUGUAGUUUAUUGCAUGUACCCUAUGAAUAAGGACCGGCUAAUUCCGUG
rnacentral:rRNA from 1 species